GGUGGAUGAGUGGCGAACGGGUGAGUAACACGUGGGUAAUCUGCCCUGUACUCGGGGAUAAGCCUUGGAAACGAGGUCUAAUACCGGAUAGGACAUCUGGCCGCAUGGUCUGGGUGUGGAAAGUUCCGGCGGUAUGGGAUGAGCCCGCGGCCUAUCAGCUGGAUGGUGGGGUAAUGGCCUGCCAUGGCGACGACGGGUAGCCGGCCUGAGAGGGUGAUCGGCCACACUGGGACUGAGACACGGCCCAGACUCCUACGGGAGGCAGCAGUGGGGAAUCUUGCGCAAUGGGCGAAAGCCUGACGCAGCAACGCCGCGUGAGGGAGGACGGCCUUCGGGUUGUAAACCUCUUUCGACACCGACGAAGGCCCCGUGUGGGUGUGACGGUAGGUGUAGAAGAAGCACCGGCUAACUACGUGCCAGCAGCCGCGGUAAUACGUAGGGUGCGAGCGUUGUCCGGAUUUAUUGGGCGUAAAGAGCUCGUAGGCGGUUUGUCGCGUCGGCCGUGGAAACCUGCCGCUUAACGGUGGGCGUGCGGUCGAUACGGGCAAACUUGAGUUCGGUAGGGGAGACUGGAAUUCCUGGUGUAGCGGUGAAAUGCGCAGAUAUCAGGAGGAACACCGGUGGCGAAGGCGGGUCUCUGGGCCGAUACUGACGCUGAGGAGCGAAAGCGUGGGGAGCGAACAGGAU
rnacentral:rRNA from 2 species